UACGGGGGGGGUAAGCGUUGUUCGGAAUUACUGGGCGUAAAGGGCUCGUAGGCGGCCAACUAAGUCAGACGUGAAAUCCCUCGGCUUAACCGGGGAACUGCAUCUGAUACUGGAUGGCUUGAGAUUGGGAGAGGGAUGCGGAAUUCCAGGUGUAGCGGUGAAAUGCGUAGAUAUCUGGAGGAACACCGGUGGCGAAGGCGACAUCCUGGACCGGUAUUGACGCUGAGGCGCGAAAGCCAGGGGAGCAAACGGG
rnacentral:rRNA from 1 species